CGGGUGAGUAAUGCGUGACCAACCUGCCCCAUGCUCCAGAAUAGCUCUUGGAAACGGGUGGUAAUGCUGGAUGCUCCAACUUGACGCAUGUCUUGUUGGGAAAGUGUUUAGUGGCAUGGGAUGGGGUCGCGUCCUAUCAGCUUGUAGGCGGGGUAAUGGCCCACCUAGGCUUCGACGGGUAGCCGGCCUGAGAGGGCGGACGGCCACAUUGGGACUGAGAUGCGGCCCAGACUCCUACGGGAGGCAGCAGG
rnacentral:rRNA from 1 species